AGUGAACGCUGGCGGUAGGCCUAACACAUGCAAGUCGAACGGCAGCACAGUAAGGGCUUGCUCUUACGGGUGGCGAGUGGCGGACGGGUGAGGAAUACAUCGGAAUCUACUUUUUCGUGGGGGAUAACGUAGGGAAACUUACGCUAAUACCGCAUACGACCUACGGGUGAAAGCAGGGGAUCUUCGGACCUUGCGCGAUUGAAUGAGCCGAUGUCGGAUUAGCUAGUUGGCGGGGUAAAGGCCCACCAAGGCGACGAUCCGUAGCUGGUCUGAGAGGAUGAUCAGCCACACUGGAACUGAGACACGGUCCAGACUCCUACGGGAGGCAGCAGUGGGGAAUAUUGGACAAUGGGCGCAAGCCUGAUUCAGCCAUACCGCGUGGGUGAAGAAGGCCUUCGGGUUGUAAAGCCCUUUUGUUGGGAAAGAAAAGCAGCAGGUUAAUACCCCGCUGUUCUGACGGUACCCAAAGAAUAAGCACCGGCUAACUUCGUG
rnacentral:rRNA from 1 species